UGAGCUCUCAGUGGACCUUGAGAAUAAUC
rnacentral:piRNA from 1 species